rnacentral:rRNA from 1 species
UACGGGGGGGGCAAGCGUUGUUCGGAAUUACUGGGCGUAAAGGGCGCGUAGGCGGCCUGCUAAGUCGGACGUGAAAUCCCUCGGCUCAACCGGGGAACUGCGUCCGAUACUGGUGGGCUCGAAUCCGGGAGAGGGAUGUGGAAUUCCAGGUGUAGCGGUGAAAUGCGUAGAUAUCAGGAGGAACACCGGUGGCGAAGGCGGCUUUCUGGACAGUAACUGACGCUGAGGCGCGAAAGCUAGGGGAGCAAACAGG